UACGAAGGGGGCUAGCGUUGCUCGGAAUGACUGGGCGUAAAGGGCGCGUAGGCGGUUUGUACAGUCAGGUGUGAAAUUCCCGGGCUCAACCUGGGGGCUGCACUUGAUACGUAUGGACUGGAGUGGGGAAGAGGGUCGUGGAAUUCCCAGUGUAGAGGUGAAAUGCGUAGAUAUCUGGAGGAACACCGGUGGCGAAGGCGGCAUCCUGGACCAUAACUGACACUGAUAAGCGAAAGCCAGGGGAGCAAACGGG
rnacentral:rRNA from 1 species